AUGGAAAGAAAGGUGGGGCUUUCCUGCUGCCUUCAGUUUGGAGAUCUGCUUCCAGCUUCCUGCUGGGCACAAGGUGGGGCAGUGGAAGGAGCAGUUUUUGCAGGUGAAGAACCCGGGCCUCAUUGUACAGUCCCUGGAGGAGCCAUGUCCCUCCAGCCUCUUCCACCCAGGAGGAUGACCCAGCAGCAGCUGAGCCCAUUCGGAAAACCCGCCAUGCCCAUGCACGGCAGGGCUGCGUCCAUCUCAAGCAUCCACAGGCACCACUGCCAGUGCACUCCCAGCCAGCCCCUCUGUCCUUCUAGCCCCACUGAGAGGCUGCUGGGGGAAGAGUCCCACCUCACAGCAAGGAAGGAGUGCCUGUCUUUGUCCAAAAUAGGGGCGAUGCUUCAUUGAUUUAUUUUAUUCCAAAUUCAUUCAUGUAUGAAAAUCUGGCAAUAUACAUAACAUGUGAUACAUACUGUUUCCUGGCAAGAUAGGGUCAGUCACGAAUGGCAGCCUCAGCUUAUAAACAAACCGGGAGAGAGCCUGCCCUCAGCACCGGUUCUUCCUUCUUCUAGGACUAAGACUUUUCCAAUUGCCAGCCGAAAUAGACUAGGGAGACCCACGCUCCAGGGAAAGCUCCUGCAUGGCCUACAGGUGUCCUCACCCUCCCUGCGGGGCUUUGACUGGGCUACAGUUUCCCCUCUGUUUUUCUAAAGCAACCUGUUCUGUAAUUAGGAUACAGAAGUGCCGGGAAGGGAAGAGUGUGGUCCCUUUAAAUGAUACAAAACGGGAAGGGCAGGGCUGGGUAGAGGAGGGUGAGGUCCCUGGUAGGGCUCCACCCCCAUGGACCUAGGUGAGGACAAGCACUCCUGCCUUUGUGCAGAAAUGUUGCAUUUCCCAAGACCACCCUGGCCCACCACGUUGAGAGAAGCAUAUCAGUGGAGCAACACAGAGGUGGCUGAAUGUUGAGAGGGAUGCCCUGUCAGGUGCCAGCAUGCGGUCAGGCCACUGGCAGAAGCAGAAUGACGUGGAGUUUGGCCAGAGUGGUCGAAGAAGAGUCCCACCACUGGGGAAGGGUUGGGCCGCCAAUGUCCCCCCUCUAGGGGAAAGCCAUCUCCCUGCUUGCUUCCCGAUCUGCUGAGAGCUUCUCCCACUCAAUAAAACCUUGCACUCAUUCUCCA
rnacentral:lncRNA from 13 species